GCGGUCCUAAUGCUUGAUGGGUUCCAGCAGACUGAGGACGUGGGUUUGGGACUUUCGGACCACGGCGAGGUGAGCUUGGCCCGGAGCGGCAGAAGUGGGCGAGGUUCGCGUGGGAGGAGGGACAUCGACUUAGUUUUUCUUGAGAGAUCUGACCGUGCCGUGGCUGCAGACCAUCUUCGCGUCAGCCACCGCCCUGGAUCACGCCAAGUGGGUUCCCAGCCCCUGCCGCCUCGUGAACUCCGCCAAAGUCAGCCACGGGAGAUUACCAUAUUCUAAAACUUCACCUGGACCGUUGGUGUGAACGCUGGGACGAAGAUCCAGGAGUUAGGAUAAGACUGAAUUGAACCCUAAAUCAGCUUCCGUGAUAAAACCGAGAGAUGGAGAAUUACUCAGCACAUUUUAUAUUGAUAAAAGAGUGCCCGGUGCAGAAGAACCAGAAGAACAAGGCCUGGAAUCCUCAGGAACUGGAAUUACAAAUGUUUGUGAACAGUCACAUGGCUACUGGAAUCAGUCUCUGAUCUUUUGGAAAACACACCCUGUCCUCUUAAAUCCCUGAGCCACCUCUCCAGCUCCUGUUUUAUAUUCUAUUCCUAAGUAUAUUUUGAACUUUGGAGGAAAUGCUUUCUUAGUCUGUUCACAUGAUGGUGUGCGUUUUAAACUCUGUUUUAUUAAAUGGUGUGUUGCAACAUUUCUGAUUU
rnacentral:lncRNA from 1 species